rnacentral:tRNA from 1 species
CAGGGAGACAACAAAAUGUUUAAUAUUAUUAUUUUGUCACCUUAGGUCGAUCGGUAUCUCACGUUUUUAAUUUAUUAAAAAUUUCAUUUCCUAAGUUUUUCUAGGUCACACCCAUUAUUUUUCCUGGGCCAUUAGCUCAGGUGGUUAGAGCGCACCCCUGAUAAGGGUGAGGUCCCUGGUUCAAGUCCAGGAUGGCCCAUAUCUCUAUGUUGGGGGUAUAGCUCAGUUGGUAGAGCGCCUGCUUUGCAAGCAGGAUGUCAGCGGUUCGAGUCCGCUUACCUCCACUGGUUACCACCUCUUCCGUAAUCUGUAGAAAGGAAAUGUUUUGAGUUGUGAUCAAAUUCUGAACGAAUCUAGCUUCCUAAUAAAACCAUUAAGAUGCUGGACUCAUUGAAUUAAUUUCAUUGUUUUCAGAGAACCUUGACAACUGCAUAGAUUAUUUUUAAAGACAAUAAGCAUCUUUAACGAUGCAGAUUUAUUAUUUGUGCAAAUGCAUUAAUAACAAUUCUAUUAAGCUGAUGCUUCAAUUUUGAAGUUAUU